GCAAUACUUACAGGUACAAGAUACCUACAAGAAACCCAACACUUUGUUAUUGAUUUACUCACAAUGCAACUAGUCUUCAGUUUGUGCCCAGUCUUCAUGCCUCAUACAAAGCCAAACAACACUUCAAGAGGUCUGCAUCGCUAUCUUCCUCAUGGUUUUGGUUGAUAAGAGCUAAUGAUGGCCGGGAACACUUCUCCUGUAGCUGUGUAAAUGGAAGACCGGCAUUGAAUAAUGAGAUAUUUCAAAAUAGA